GACGAACGCUGGCGGCGUGCCUAAUACAUGCAAGUAGAACGCUGAAGGAGGAGCUUGCUCUUCUGGAUGAGUUGCGAACGGGUGAGUAACGCGUAGGUAACCUGUCUGGUAGCAGGGGAUAACUAUUGGAAACGAUAGCUAAUACCGCAUAAGAGUAGAUGUUGCAUGACAUUUGCUUAAAAGGUGCAAUUGCAUCACUACCAGAUGGACCUGCGUUGUAUUAGCUAGUUGGUGAGGUAACGGCUCACCAAGGCAACGAUACAUAGCCGACCUGGGCGGGUGAACGGCCACACUGGGACUGAGACCAGGCCCAGACUCGUACGGGAGGCAGCAGUAGGGAAUCUUCGGCAAUGGACGGAAGUCUGACCGAGCAACGCCGCGUGAGUGAAGAAGGUUUUCGGAUCGUAAAGCUCUGUUGUAAGAGAAGAACGAGUGUGAGAGUGGAAAGUUCACACUGUGACGGUAUCUUACCAGAAAGGGACGGCUAACUACGUGCCAGCAGCCGCCGUAAAAC
rnacentral:rRNA from 1 species